AGUGAGCGCUGGCGGUAGGCCUAACACAUGCAAGUCGAACGGCAGCUCAGUAAGAGCUUGCUCUUACGGGUGGCGAGUGGCGGACGGGUGAGGAAUACAUCGGAAUCUACUUUUUCGUGGGGGAUAACGUAGGGAAACUUACGCUAAUACCGCAUACGACCUACGGGUGAAAGCAGGGGAUCUUCGGACCUUGCGCGAUUGAAUGAGCCGAUGUCGGAUUAGCUAGUUGGCGGGGUAAAGGCCCACCAAGGCGACGAUCCGUGGCUGGUCUGAGAGGAUGAUCAGCCACACUGGAACUGAGACACGGUCCAGACUCCUACGGGAGGCAGCAGUGGGGAAUAUUGGACAAUGGGCGCAAGCCUGAUCCAGCCAUACCGCGUGGGUGAAGAAGGCCUUCGGGUUGUAAAGCCCUUUUGUUGGGAAAGAAAAGCAGCAGGUUAAUACCCCGCUGUUCUGACGGUACCCAAAGAAUAAGCACCGGCUAACUUCGUG
rnacentral:rRNA from 1 species